rnacentral:rRNA from 1 species
UACGGAGGGUGCGAGCGUUGUCCGGAAUCACUGGGCGUAAAGGGCGCGUAGGCGGCGCGAGCAGUCGGCGGUGAAAGCCCGGAGCUCAACUCCGGGUCGGCCGUCGAUACUCUCGUGCUUGAGCACUGUAGAGGCAGGUGGAAUUCCGGGUGUAGCGGUGGAAUGCGUAGAUAUCAGGAGGAACACCGGUGGCGAAGGCGGGUCUCUGGGCAGUAACUGACGCUGAGGAGCGAAAGCGUGGGGAGCGAACAGG